rnacentral:lncRNA from 1 species
GAGCCCAAAAUCCAAAAUCCAUUACGCACAAGGAACAAAAUUGCUAGACUGAAAAGUGAUAUGGGCCUUAUCCAAAAAUGAGUCUGGGAGUCAGCUGGGCUUGGGUCUGGCUGCUUUCUGAAAGAGUUGUGGGUCACAAUCCGGGUCGGAUUGGCAAGUUAACCCGGUUAUCUCUCUCUCUCUUUCUUUUCUAUACAUUAAAAGAACUAAAGCGCUUUUCUUUUUUUCGUUUAAUUUCAUUCCUUCUUAAAAAAAAAAAAAAAAAACAACAUUCUCUCUUCUAACAACAGCCUGUAGCCUCCCUUAACCCAGUUCCCAGCGGUCGGCAGCCGCCUGUAGUAGUCUUUUACAGCCCAAAAUUUCUCCGAAUGCUCUCCUCAGUUUCCUCGUCACGAAUCCAAGCUCAGAUUCCUCGAAAUUAAUCCCCAACGUCCUAGAUCUAAACCGAAAAUUCAAAAUUUCAAGUGGCCGAAAUCUCUCCUUCACUGUCCGAUUACUCUGCAUUUUUAAUAUCUUGUUUCCCUCCUCUCGUCCUUCCUUUCCACGGGCUCCGAUCAUCCAAAAGACCCCUGCUAUCGCUCACUGCCACCGCGAACCCCUACUGCCGAUUUGUAAGCCACCAUUUACUUCCCGUCACCCUAGAACGAGCCUACUUUCCUUCCUUCUUAAAUGACCCAAACCGAAUCUGCGUAGAAACACCCAUAAGAGCUAAAGUCCCCUAUGCCCGAAAUGCCUCUGUUCUAAGGGCUUUUUUUUUUUUUUUCAUUGAUAUUUCUCCUAACCAGGGGAUGUGAUUGUUUUUAUGUGUUUUUUGUUUAUUGUGGUUUUUUCGGAUGAGGGUGGCAGGGAUGAUGGGUGGUGGCUGUUUGGUAGCUUGUGGAUGCCGUGGAUGGCAUGUGUUGUUGAUGUGAGAAUCAAUGGUUGGUAGGCUUAGGCAGUAAUGGUAUCGGCAUCGGGUCUUGGUGGGGGAAUUUGGCAUUGGGAUUGGUUGAUGGUUUUGGCUGUGAAGAGUUCUUUUUUUUUUUUUUUUGCUGUGUGUUUUGCCUCUUAGUCGAGAGUCCCCUAUUCCCAUGGUGAGAAGUAUGGAUAAAA